rfam:Marinobacterium stanieri strain DSM 7027 genome assembly, contig: Ga0111666_102
GGGCGAAUAGCUCAGUUGGGAGAGCAUCUGCCUUACAAGCAGAGGGUCGGGGGUUCGAACCCCUCUUCGCCCA